rnacentral:sRNA from 1 species
UUUUGAAACAAACACGACAUUAUUAUGGCCACCAAUAUUUUCGACGUAACUCUACCAAUCAUGCCAAUGCUUCGUCUUCACGUGCCAAGGAAUAUAGAGAGAAAGUGUUUUCAAGGCCAGAGAGAAUUCCUUCAAGCUCCUUAGGGAUGGAUGAAAUGUCAUCAAAUAAUAAAGCAGAGAUGGUUUGUGGGAUAUGUGAGAAACUUCUGAGUCAAAAAAUAAACUUUUUGGGGAAUUCAAUCUCUUCCAGUGAGCUUUCGGUUGUGGCAGUUUUAGUAUGUGG